UUUAUAUGAGAGUUUGAUCCUGGCUCAGGAUGAACGCUGGCGGCGUGCCUAAUACAUGCAAGUCGAACGAGUUCUCGUUGAAUCUCGGUGCUUGCACU
rnacentral:rRNA from 1 species